CCUGGACCUAGAAACAAAAAAUGAAAGUGGAGAAAACCAAACAAGAAUCUUUCUUUCUUAAAGUAAACAUCGGACUGACAUCUCCUUUCAAACAUUCAUUGAGGAUCUACUCUGUGAGAAGAAGCAAUACCAUGUUAUCUCAUUCUAGUUCCAGUUCUAGUUGACUUGAUUGUCAAACGACUGCUAAGAAGGUGAAAUAGAGGAGAUGACAUGAAUGAGGGACUACAUUGGAAUGAAGAAGAACCUGGAGGAGGUAAAAAAACUGAAGGCUCCGGAUGUCGGACGAUGGAAAAUAAAAACAACAAGCAAGUGAAACUCCCUGACUUAUCAACCUUACUCAAGAAUUCCUUCU
rnacentral:lncRNA from 1 species